rnacentral:rRNA from 1 species
CACGUAGGGUGCGAGCGUUGUCCGGAAUUAUUGGGCGUAAAGAGCUCGUAGGCGGUGUGUCGCGUCGGCCGUGAAAACCUGCAGCUUAACUGUGGGCUUGCGGUCGAUACGGGGCAUCACUGGAGUUCGGCAGGGGGAGACUGGAAUUCCUGGUGUAGCGGUGAAAUGCGCAGAUAUCAGGAGGAACACCGGUGGCGAAGGCGGGUCUCUGGGGCCGAUACUGACGCUGAGGAGCGAAAAGCAUGGGGGAGCGAACAGGG